GUGAGGAAUAUUGGUCAAUGGGCGAAAGCCUGAACCAGCCAUGUCGCGUGAAGGAUGAAGGUCCUAUGGAUUGUAAACUUCUUUUGCAGGAGGGUAAAGUGAGCUACGUGUAGUUCAUUGCAAGUACCCUGCGAAUAAGCAUCGGCUAACUCCGUGCCAGCAGCCGCGGUAAUACGGAGGAUGCGAGCGUUAUCCGGAUUUAUUGGGUUCAAAGGGUGCGUAGGCGGACUCAUUAGUCAUCGGUGAAAUUUUGCGGCUCAACCGUAAAACUGCCGUUGAAACUGUUAGUCUUGAGUGCGGUAGAGGUAGGCGGAAUGUGUGGUGUAGCGGUGAAAUGCUUAGAUAUCACACAGAACACCGAUUGCGUAGGCAGCUUACUGGAGCGCAACUGACGCUGAGGCACGAAAGCGUGGGGAUCGAACAGGAUUAGAUACCCCAGUAGUCC
rnacentral:rRNA from 1 species